ACGUAGGAGGCGAGCGUUAUCCGGAUUUACUGGGCGUAAAGCGCGUGCAGGCGGUGCGAUAAGUCGUGUGUGAAAGCUCCCAGGCUUAACCGGGAGAGGACGUGCGGGACUGUCGGACUAGAGGCAGGUAGAGGCAAGUGGAAUUCCGGGUGUAGUGGUGAAAUGCGUAGAGAUCCGGAGGAACCCCGGUGGCGAAGGCGACUUGCUGGGCCGUACCUGACGCUAAGACGCGACAGCACGGGGAGCGAACGG
rnacentral:rRNA from 1 species